rnacentral:rRNA from 1 species
GAUGAACGCUAGCGGCAGGCCUAAUACAUGCAAGUCGAACGGUGUCUUCGGACAUAGUGGCGCACGGGUGCGUAACACGUAUGCAACCUACCUUACAUUGGGGGAUAGCCUUUCGAAAGGGAGAUUAAUACCCCAUAAGACAGUAGCUGGGCAUCCAGCAGCUGUUAAAGAUUUAUCGAUGUAAGCUGGGCAUGCGUCCAAUUAGCUAGUUGGUGAGGUAACGGCUCACCAAGGCAAUGAUUGGUAGGGGAACUGAGAGGUCAAUCCCCCACACUGGCACUGAGAUACGGGCCAGACUCCUACGGGAGGCAGCAGUAGGGAAUAUUGGGCAAUGGACGCAAGUCUGACUCAGCCAUGCCGCGUGCAGGAUGAAGGCGUUAUGCGUUGUAAACUGCUUUUAUACAGGAAGAAACGACUCUUGCGAGAGGCAUUGACGGUACUGUAUGAAUAAGCACCGGCUAACUCCGUGCCAGCCGCCGCGGUAACAC